UACCUGAGAGUUAACAACAAUAAUGAAAAUAAUAAGUACAGUCAACUGUUGUAAUUCACAGUAGUAUCUUCCAGACUAUAAUGUUUAAAGGAAACUGUAAGGGUUGCCAAAUCCAAUUGGAGUCUUCAGAAACUGUUUAAAUAGUGGAGACUACUUGAUAUGUUUUGACUUUAGUCCACAUUUAAGCCUUGAUAAUUAUAGUUUCCUUUAAAGAUUACAGUCUGGAAGAUACUACUGUGAGAGUAUAGUGGAGAUAAAUAAUGCGGAUGAUGGGUGGGCGCUAGGACCCAGGGGACAGCUUUUUCCCAUUGCCUGCCUUUCCUCCUGCUGGCGAGCUGGAUUGUUCUUGUGUUGCCAUGAGGUUUCUCUUUCCCUCCUGGCAUGGCUCCCAUGUCCGUGGUUCUCUCCUUUAAGUGAGGGAAAGUGGGUGCCGCCAUUGUGGCUCUCCUGGUCAGGAGAAGCAGGAGGAGCAGGGAGAGUGCGGUUGACAUGCUGGUCAUGGGAGGAGGGCAGAGGUUCUGCCGUAGGGUGCUCCCGCAACCUUCGGGUGUGACAGCAAAGAGGGACAGAUCCAUUAGGCCCACCCUUCAGGACUUACCUCCCGAGGUGUGGUCAAAUGAUGGUCCUGUGGUCGAGGAGGAGGUAGGGCCCUUGUGCCGUGUCCAGUCAAAGCUGUCAGUGUCCGACUGCAUCCAGGAGCAGAAGUCCGCGUCAAAGGAGCAGGAGAAGUCACAGGAAGUGGAGGAAUCUGAGAAAGGGACAAGAGUGGUUUGACCUAAGGAAGGACCACUCCAGCUCCAACCAUGGUUGAGGAAAGGUCUCCAACCCAGAAAGUGAAUGUCCACUGCUGAUUCCUUUUGGACCUCCCCUUCCAGUCACUUAGAGCAAAGCUUAUGCAGACAAGGAAGCCAUUUCUGCAUGCCCUCUCCAUUUUCUCUUUCCCUUCCUUCCCCUUUCCAGUAAUCUCUAUGGUCCACCUGGCUACUCAAGAUGGAAGAGGCAAGCACUACAACUCUUUAGCAGGAGCCAUCCAGGGAGCAGCUCUCCAUGCCUCUCAAGGAACCCAAGGACAUCGGAAAGUCCACUUUCCAGAGAAGGAGAAGUGGUUCUGGCCUAGAGCUUUGGCAAAACCAGGGCUUCCUUUGCCUUUUCUCUGAUCCUAUUUCCUUUCCUCACUGUUUGCUCAAGAUGUAGAAGAUGCAGCCCUAGACCUGGCAGAGAAGUUGGGGUGGCUUUCAUGGAAAGCAGGAUCAAGAAAAGUGGAUCUAGUAGGACUAAAUGCACUGCUCUAUAGGAUAUGAUCCCAGAUUAUCUGCUUUAUGAGUCUUCACUGCCAGAUAAGCAGAUAAUCUGGGAUCAGAUCCUGAGAUAUAGGGACAGUGUGGAAGGGGUCUGAGAUACUUACUCAUAGGACUCUUGAAGAGAAACAUUUUGAGCUGAUGGGUUGGUUGCCUUUUCAUUCAUUAACUAAUCAUGCAGUCUGUUGCCUAUCAACGCCUUCAGCAAGAUAAGAUAUUGAGGGCAAUGCAAGAUCAUAAGGAAGAUAAAGAACUGGGUGGAUUUCAAACAGAUUAAUCUGGCCUUCCCUUGUGCAAGUCAAUGGCCUGCCCAACUCUCAGCUGACCAUCCAAGGCUGCCUUUCUUGAGUCUUUCCAGUAGCCCAUUGACUCCAGUCCAGACUCUGAUUGGAAUGUCUCAAGCUGAAGGCUUCCUAGUCUUGCAUUGUCCCAUAUACACUUUUGACAAUAUGGAUGACUUAAGGGCUGGGCCUUCUUUCUUGAACCCACAGGCUUAAGCUAUGGGCCUAUGGUGGGUGACAAUGGGACCUUCAGGAAAGACAGGCUCUUCCCCACCCCAUUUUCACUGCAUCUCCUUUACAAUGGACUCAAAUACGAGUGAUGGGACCACAUACCUGGUGUGUGGGUUGAUGUGGUUGUCUCAGUUGGGACUGUGGUGGGAGGCACUAGAAGGAAAGAAACCAAGCCUUGUUUUGAAAAAAGGAAUCUAUAUCAUUUCAUUUAUGACACACCUUCAGUCCAUCAAGUAUCUCCUUCACGCUUUGGGGUCUUAAGAGCAAACCUGGGAAGCUGAGCAGCUGGAAAGAGAGCAACUGGGACCCAAAGUUGAUGCAGAGAGAUUUGUGGAUCUGGAAGUCCCAAGUCUCAUCCCAAGUCUCUGAACUGUCACAUAGAGCAGAAUAACCCGGGCUAUGGCGCAGGCUGAUAAAGCAGUCAGCUGCAACAAAUCACUCUGACCAAGAGGUCAUGAGUUCGAGGCCAGCUCGGAGCUGCGUUUGUCUCUGUCUUUGUUCUAUGUUAAGGCAUUGAAUGUUUGCCUUAUAUGUGUGAUGUGAUCCGCCCUGACUCCCCUUCGGGGUGAGAAGGGCAGAAUAUAAAUACUGUAAAUAAAUAAAAUAAAUAAAUAAAAUGUCAACA